CAAGAACCCUGUCUUCUCCUCCUAGGUGUCAUGGCCUAGGAAGACCUGCAUCCUAGGCUGAGCACACGUCUCCUCAGCCCAGGAAUGCUUUCUGACCGUUGUGUCAUGGGGAUGGAUUACUUGGCAAAUUCAGACAGCAAAUGUUUACUCUGUGGCCAGGUGCCAGGCACAGAGACUGGGCUGUAGUCUAGUCCAAAUCUUUCUGCAAGUAUGGAAGCAAGAUGACCACGAGGGAGGCUGGAGUAGGAGGAUGAUCCAGGAGAGAUGAACCAGGGUGAUGGUGGCGUCAAUGGAAAGAACAGGGAAUGCAUCCAGGCAGAGGAUGGAGGAGAAGCCAAACAGAGAUGAAUACAAUGUGAUGGCUGCACAAUGGGAGAAAAUAUUUGCAACUCAUAUAUCUGAUAAAGAACUUGUAUAUAGAAUAUGUAAAGAAUACUUACGGGGCCAGCCCCAUGGCAUAGUAGUUAAGUUCAGCACACUGC
rnacentral:lncRNA from 1 species